rnacentral:tRNA from 1 species
CUGCUCGUGGCACAAUUGGAUAGCGCACAAGACUCCGACUCUUGCGGUUGAAGGUUCGAAUCCUUUCGGGCAGGCCA